UGGAGGAUGUUAGAUUUUCUUAAUGUUCUGUACGUUUCCCAGCAACCCGGCAACAGGACGUUGCCGGGAGCGAGACUUGAGCCAUGGAUGGCGAAUGUCAAGCGGUUGCGUCAAGCCAAAACAAAUAAAACCAGAACAUUUAGAAAAUCUUAUAUCCGUA
rnacentral:ncRNA from 1 species